rnacentral:misc_RNA from 1 species
CGAGUGUAGGGUUCCUAGCGAGCCCAACCUCCCACCCGUGUUUACUGUAACCUUAGUUGCUUCGGCGGGCCCGCCUUUAAGGCCGCCGGGGGGCAUCAGCCCCCGGGCCCGCGCCCGCCGGAGACACCACGAACUCUGUCUGAUCUAGUGAAGUCUGAGUUGAUUGUAUCGCAAUCAGUUA